rnacentral:rRNA from 1 species
AGCGGAGAUAUAUGGAGCUUGCUUUAUAUAACUUAGCAGCGAACGGGUGAGUAACACGUAGAUAAUCUAUCCUAUACUGGGGGAUAGCCCGAUGAAAGUUGGAUUAAUACCGCAUAUAGCUAUAUAGUUGCAUGAUUAUGUAGUGAAAGAUUUAUUGGUAUGGGAGGAGUCUGCGGCACAUUAGCUAGUAGGUGAGGUAAAGGCUUACCUAGGCGACGAUGUGUAGCCGGUCUGAGAGGAUGAACGGCCGCAAUGGAACUGAGACACGGUCCAUACUCCUACGGGAGGCAGCAGUGGGGAAUAUUGCACAAUGGGGGAAACCCUGAUGCAGCAACGCCGCGUGAGUGAAGAAGGUUUUCGGAUUGUAAAGCUCUGUUAGCAGGGAAGAGGAAGGACGGUACCUGCAGAGGAAGCCACGGCUAACUACGUGCCAGCAGCCGCGGUAAUACGUAGGUGGCAAGCGUUGUUCGGAAUAACUGGGCGUAAAGGAUGCGUAGGCGGUUAAACAAGUUAUAUGUUAAAUAUAUAGGCUUAACCUGUAGAAAGCAUAUAAAACUGUUAAACUAGAGUGCAGGAGAGGUAAGUGGAAUUCCUAGUGUAGCGGUGAAAUGCGUAGAGAUUAGGAAGAACACCAGUGGCGAAGGCGACUUACUGGACUGUAACUGACGCUGAGGCAUGAGAGCAUGGGGAGCAA